UACAGAGGGGGCAAGCGUUGUUCGGAAUUACUGGGCGUAAAGGGCGCGUAGGCGGCCUUCUAAGUCGAACGUGAAAUCCCCGGGCUCAACCCGGGAACUGCGUCCGAUACUGGAAGGCUUGAAUCCGGGAGAGGGAUGUGGAAUUCCAGGUGUAGCGGUGAAAUGCGUAGAUAUCUGGAGGAACACCGGUGGCGAAGGCGGCGUUCUGGACUGCAACUGACACUGAGAAACGAAAGCCAGGGUAGCAAACGGG
rnacentral:rRNA from 1 species